rnacentral:rRNA from 1 species
AGUGAACGCUGGCGGUAGGCCUAACACAUGCAAGUCGAACGGCAGCACAGUAAGAGCUUGCUCUUACGGGUGGCGAGUGGCGGACGGGUGAGGAAUACAUCGGAAUCUACUUUUUCGUGGGGGAUAACGUAGGGAAACUUACGCUAAUACCGCAUACGACCUACGGGUGAAAGCAGGGGAUCUUCGGACCUUGCGCGAUUGAAUGAGCCGAUGUCGGAUUAGCUAGUUGGCGGGGUAAAGGCCCACCAAGGCGACGAUCCGUAGCUGGUCUGAGAGGAUGAUCAGCCACACUGGAACUGAGACACGGUCCAGACUCCUACGGGAGGCAGCAGUGGGGAAUAUUGGACAAUGGGCGAAAGCCUGAUCCAGCCAUACCGCGUGGGUGAAGAAGGCCUUCGGGUUGUAAAGCCCUUUUGUUGGGAAAGAAAAGCAGCAGGUUAAUACCCCGCUGUUCUGACGGUACCAAAAGAAUAAGCACCGGCUAACUUCGU